rnacentral:rRNA from 1 species
UACGGAGGGUGCAAGCGUUGUUCGGAAUCACUGGGCGUAAAGGGCGUGUAGGCGGUCCGCUAAGUCUGAUGUGAAAGCCCGGGGCUUACCCCCGGAAGGGCAUUGGAAACUGGCGGACUCGAGUCCCGGAGAGGAAGGUGGAAUUCCUGGUGUAGCGGUGAAAUGCGCAGAUAUCAGGAGGAACACCGGUGGCGAAGGCGGGUCUCUGGGCCGAUACUGACGCUGAGGAGCGAAAGCGUGGGGAGCGAACAGG